rnacentral:rRNA from 1 species
CUACGGGUCGCUCCAGUGAGGAAUAUUGCACAAUGGGGGGAACCCUGAUGCAGCAACGCCGCGUGGAGGAUGACGCAUUUCGGUGUGUAAACUCCUUUUAUAUGUCAAGAAAAUGACGGUAGCAUAUGAAUAAGCACCGGCUAACUCCGUGCCAGCAGCCGCGGUAAUACGGAGGGUGCAAGCGUUACUCGGAAUCACUGGGCGGAAAGGACGCGUAGGCGGGUUGGAAAGUCAGGUGUGAAAUCCUACAGCUUAACUGUAGAACUGCACUUGAAACUUCUAAUCUAGAGUAUGGGAGGGGGAGAUGGAAUUAGUGGUGUAGGGGUAAAAUCCGUAGAUAUCACUAGGAAUACCGAAAGCGAAGGCGAUCUCCAGGAACAUUACUGACGCUAAGGCGUGAAAGCGUGGGGAGCAAACAGGAUUAGAUACCCUAGUAGUC